rnacentral:miRNA from 1 species
AACUGUUCCCUUUCUGAGUAGA